rnacentral:lncRNA from 1 species
UCUCAUUUUUCCCGGGCUUUCGGUCAGCGUUUUCCUUUUCUCGCGGGUUUGGGCGCGCAUCGAACUCUGAAGGGUCGGGAAGGCCUGUCGUUGGAAUGUGGUUGAGUUCCAGGGAGUGUACAGGCUGGAGGAUGGGACAAGACCUAUCUCUGUAUCGAUCAAGCACGGCGUUGGUGUUCCAGCUCAUCACCAAUCCUAAGGAAUUCAAGUGCCUCCCAGGAUGAAUACAGGUUGUCUUGAUGGUGAUACAUUCAUCUGUCUUAAGAUCCCUGCUGAUCUGCUCAUGGUCAAACUCCUGGAAAGAGUUGAGAGUGGUGAGUACUUGUAACCUUGGUUGUAACUUGUCUCCAGUGCCAGUGAGGAGAGCAAGCAUCCUGUCUUAACCCCUGUCCUAGCCCCAGAGCCAGAAAUGGUGAACCCACUGGGGCUAACAGGGAGAGAGGAUGAAAACAUGUUCCGUAAGGAACUGUCUGAGGUACAGCAACUGCCAAUGGGUAGCAUUCGUUUAGCUUCCCUUGGCUUACAUAUUAGCUGGGAUCCUUUUGGUUUUUUAAGGUACUCUACUGAUUUCAUGAUCUUCUCAUUCAGGGGCACCUUGUUCCUGCAUCCUCAAAGGAGCAUCUUGUUCCUCCAUUUAAGCUUCCAGAGUUAAAAGGUUAGUUGAUUAAUGUCACCAUAAUAUAUGCCACCAAGUAAGCAGUUUCUGUGAUGAAUCAAACUAGCUCACUAUGAACUAACAAUGAAAAGAUAUGAACACCUGAGAAACUGGAGAACAGAGCAGUGGGAUACUGUCUGCUAGGAACUUAAUAUCACUUACAGUUUUGUCCUUUCCUAGGUACCUGUACCAUUUAGCGGCUUGUUCACUCAAAGGUGAGUGAUUUAUAUGUUGGUGCAUACCGUGUACUGAGGGAGAAAAUGCCUUUUUAGGCAUCUACACAUGAUGACUUACAUGGAAUCUCGUUCGGCUGAUGAUUUGCUGUUGAGACUCGGAAAUCUGAUUUUUUUUUUCUUUUAAGAACUUAAGUGGGAACAAAUUUUAAUGUAGGAAGUAAGCAUUACUGACUCAUUCUUGUUUUGUUUUAGAUCCAUCUUGUCUGGAGCCUGAGGAUGAUUGGAGGUGAAAGGUGUAAGCCAUACUCUGCUCAACUCCAGUCUGAAACUGAGGUUUAAAGAACACAUACUUAACACACGGGUGGGUAAGUAUCCAUUCACGUACUUGUGUUAAAUAUCAGACUAACUAUAUAAAUACAAAAGUACAUUAGAGCAGCCCUUUUAGUGUUAACUGGUUGAAAGGAUAGUAUGUUCUAAGUCCGUUUUAGUAACUAAGUCCGUUUUAGUAAGAACCCUAAACUGUUCUUUUUCUCUGCAGGAAUCCAACUCUUGGAGGACAUCAGAAGUGGAAUUUUCUUAUACAACCUACCUAUUCAAAUUAGCAUAUAAUCUUUCUAGCCUUUCUAAAUAAAUAAAGGGAUUUUUUUGUA